GCCUUGCAAUUUGAAAAUUGAUAUUAUUUGGAGUUCGGAUUUUAAAGAGUUUAAAUUUCAGAACCAAACGAAAUUGGUCACCUAUUUCAAGUACUUGAUUCGUUGGCGUGGAAGAAUUCAGUAUCUGACAAACUCGAGGUCGAGUUCUUCUCAGUGGAGGAGAAUGCUGCGGGAUAAAAUUAUAUUUAUUUAUUUAUUUAUUAAUUCUUG
rnacentral:lncRNA from 1 species